rnacentral:rRNA from 1 species
GGAAGGAUCAUUAUCAAAAAUUCAUAUUUUUGAAUAUAACCCUUCAACCCAUGUCUACUGAUUCUCUGUUGCUUCCACUGGACAGGUAUCUAUUGUUCAAAACCUUUUUUGAACCGUAUUUGCCCUUCAAGUCUCAUAAUUGAGCUUGGGGAAUUGCUAGUGGGUAGCCUAUGUUAAUACCAUUAUGGCAAGCAUUUUAUUCAUAAGUCUGAAAAAAAAAUGAAACUAAAUGAAAAAAAACUUUCAACAACGGAUCUCUAGGCUCUUGCAUCGAUGAAGAACGCAGUGAAAUGUGAUAAGUAAUGUGAAUUGCAGAAUCUCGUGAAUCAUUGAAUUUUUGAACGCAUAUUGCGCCCAAUGGUAUUCCAUUGGGCAUACCUGUUUGAGAGUCAGAAUCCUUUUAAAUGGUCAAACUUCCUAUAUAUGGAGAUGUUUGGUAUUGAGAGACGUAAUAAAGAUUUCCUAUGUUACACUCUUAAAAAUCAGAAUUUCAGGUUGGUUGCUUCAAUCUCAUUUUGUAUGUGAUAAUCUUAAUGAAUGAAUAAAACCACCAUGAAUGUACGUAAACAGAACACUUGGUAUGACCUCAAAUCAGGUAGGGAUACCCGCUGAACUUAAGCAUAUCAAUAAGCGGAGGAAAAGAAACCAACAGGGAUUGCCUUAGUAACGGCGAGUGAAGUGGCAAAAGCUCAGAUUUGAAAUCGGGUGUUUUUAUAGACGCUUGAGUUGUAAUCUGUAGAGGAGUUUUCAGAGGAUGACUAUGGUUAAAGUGCCUUGGAAAAGGACAUCAUAGAGGGUGAGAAUCCUGUUUAUGGCCUUAGUACUUCUCUAUUAUGAAUCUCCUUCAAUGAGUCGAGUUGUUUGGGAAUGCAGCUCUAAAUGGGUGGUAAAUUCCAUCUAAAGCUAAAUAUAGGCAAGAGACCGAUAGCGCACAAGUAGAGUGAUCGAAAGAUGAAAAGAACUCUGAACAGAGAGUUAAAAAGUACGUGAAAUUGUUGAAAGGGAAGCACUUGUGACCAGACAAAUUUGCAAUUAAUCAGCCUAUCAAUUUUUGGUGGUGCACUUAAUUGUCAGUGGGUUAGCAUCAGUUAUAAUAGUGGGAAAAAGACUGCAGGAAUGUAGCUCCUCUUUGAGGAGUGUUAUAGCUUAUGGUUUAAUACUACUUAUUGUGACUGAGGAUUGCGCUUUUUGAGUAAGGAUGCUGGCAUAAUGGUCAUAAGUGACCCGUCUUGAAACACGGACCAAGGAGUCUAACAUCUAUGCGAGUGUUUGGGUCUAAGCCCUUACGCACAAUGAAAGUGAAAGAAGGUGGGAACCAUCUGGUGCACCAUCGAC